rnacentral:tRNA from 1 species
GGGCGGUUAGCUCAGUUGGUAGAGCAGCGGACUUUUAAUCCGUUGGUCGGGAGUUCAAAUCUCCCACCGCCUA